rnacentral:misc_RNA from 1 species
UACGUAGGUGGCAAGCGGUGACCGGAAUUAUUGGGCGUAAAGCGCGCGCAGGCGGUUUCUUAAGUCUGAUGUGAAAGCCCACGGCUCAACCGUGGAGGGUCAUUGGAAACUGGGAAACUUGAGUGCAGAAGAGGAGAGUGGAAUUUCCGGUGUAGCGGUGAAAUGCGUAGAGAUCGGAAGGAACACCAGUGGCGAAGGCGACUCUUUGGCCUAUAGCUGACGCUGAGGCGCGAAAGCGUGGGGAGCAAACAGG